GAUGAACGCUAGCGGCAGGCCUAAUACAUGCAAGUCGAACGCGGGGUAGCAAUACCUCGAGUGGCGCACGGGUGCGUAACGCGUAACCAACCUGCCCUUGACUGGGGGAUAGCCCGCCGAAAGGCGGAUUAAUACCGCAUAAACCAGCAGCCUGGCAUCAGGCAACUGGUAAAGAUUUAUUGGUCAAGGAUGGGGUUGCGUGACAUUAGCUAGUUGGCGGGGUAACGGCCCACCAAGGCGACGAUGUCUAGGGGACCUGAGAGGGUGAUCCCCCACACGGGGAUGGAGAGACGGGCCAGACUCCUACGGGAGGCAGCAGUAGGGAAUAUUGGGCAAUGGGCGAGAGCCUGACCCAGCCAUGCCGCGUGCCGGAUGAAGGCCUUCUGGGUUGUAAACGGCUUUUCUCAGGGAAGAAAAAGGGUAUGCGUACCACACUGACGGUACCUGAGGAAUAAGCACCGGCUAACUCCGUGCCAGCAGCCGCCGUAAGAC
rnacentral:rRNA from 1 species